rnacentral:rRNA from 1 species
AGGGCGCACGGUGGAUGCCUUGGCACUAGGAGCCGAUGAAGGACGGGACUAACACCGAUAUGCUUUGGGGAGCUGUAAGUAAGCUAUGAUCCAGAGAUUUCCGAAUGGGGGAACCCAAUAUCUUUUAUAGGAUAUUACUUUUCAGUGAAUACAUAGCUGAUUAGAGGUAGACGCAGAGAACUGAAACAUCUUAGUACCUGCAGGAAGAGAAAGAAAAUUCGAUUCCCUGAGUAGCGGCGAGCGAAACGGGAAGAGCCCAAACCAACAAGCUUGCUUGUUGGGGUUGUAGGACUCCAAUAUGGUAGUCUGUUAGUAUAGUUGAAGGAUUUGGAAAAUUCCGCUAAAGAGGGUGAAAGCCCCGUAGACGAAAUGCUGACAACACCUAGGAGGAUCCUGAGUACGGCGGAACACGAGAAAUUCCGUCGGAAUCCGCGGGGACCAUCCCGCAAGGCUAAAUACUCCCUAGUGACCGAUAGUGAACCAGUACCGUGAGGGAAAGGUGAAAAGCACCCCGGAAGGGGAGUGAAAUAGAUCCUGAAACCGUGUGCCUACAACAAGUCAAAGCUCGUUAAUGAGUGAUGGCGUGCCUUUUGUAGAAUGAACCGGCGAGUUACGAUUGCAUGCGAGGUUAAGUCGAAGAGACGGAGCCGCAGCGAAAGCGAGUCUGAAUAGGGCGAAUGAGUAUGUAGUCGUAGACCCGAAACCAUGUGAUCUACCCAUGUCCAGGUUGAAGGUGCGGUAAAACGCACUGGAGGACCGAACCAGGGCACGUUGAAAAGUGCUUGGAUGACUUGUGGGUAGCGGAGAAAUUCCAAACGAACUUGGAGAUAGCUGGUUCUCUCCGAAAUAGCUUUAGGGCUAGCCUCGGAAUUGAGAAUGAUGGAGGUAGAGCACUGUUUGGACUAGGGGCCCAUCUCGGGUUACCGAAUUCAGAUAAACUCCGAAUGCCAUUCAUUUAUAUCCGGGAGUCAGACUGCGAGUGAUAAGAUCCGUAGUCGAAAGGGAAACAGCCCAGACCACCAGCUAAGGUCCCAAAAUAAUUGUUAAGUGGAAAAGGAUGUGGGGUUGCACAGACAACUAGGAUGUUAGCUUAGAAGCAGCUAUUCAUUCAAAGAGUGCGUAAUAGCUCACUAGUCGAGUGACCCUGCGCCGAAAAUGUACCGGGGCUAAAACAAUUUACCGAAGCUGUGGAUACCUUUAUAGGUAUGGUAGGAGAGCGUUCUAUGUGUGGAGAAGGUGUACCGUGAGGAGCGCUGGAACGCAUAGAAGUGAGAAUGCCGGUAUGAGUAGCGAAAGACAGGUGAGAAUCCUGUCCACCGUAUGACUAAGGUUUCCUGGGGAAGGCUCGUCCGCCCAGGGUUAGUCGGGACCUAAGCCGAGGCCGAUAGGCGUAGGCGAUGGACAACAGGUUGAUAUUCCUGUACCAGUUGUUUUUGUUUGAGCAAUGGAGGGACGCAGUAGGCUAAGGAAUGCAUGCGAUUGGAAGUGCAUGUCCAAGCAAUGAGUCUUGAGUAGAGUUAAAUGCUUUACUCUUUAAGGACAAGUUGUGACGGGGAGCGAAAUAAUAGUAGCGAAGUUCCUGAUGUCACACUGCCAAGAAAAGCUUCUAGUGAGAAAACAACUGCCCGUACCGUAAACCGACACAGGUAGUCGAGGAGAGUAUCCUAAGGUGAGCGAGCGAACUCUCGUUAAGGAACUCGGCAAAAUGACCCCGUAACUUCGGGAGAAGGGGUGCUGACUUCGGUCAGCCGCAGUGAAUAGGCCCAAGCGACUGUUUAUCAAAAACACAGGUCUCUGCAAAAUCGUAAGAUGAAGUAUAGGGGCUGACGCCUGCCCGGUGCUGGAAGGUUAAGAGGAUGGGUUAGCUUCGGCGAAGCUCAGAAUUGAAGCCCCAGUAAACGGCGGCCGUAACUAUAACGGUCCUAAGGUAGCGAAAUUCCUUGUCGGGUAAGUUCCGACCCGCACGAAAGGCGUAAUGAUUUGGGCACUGUCUCAACGAGAGACUCGGUGAAAUUUUAGUACCUGUGAAGAUGCAGGUUACCCGCGACAGGACGGAAAGACCCCAUGGAGCUUUACUGUAGUUUGAUAUUGAGUGUUUGUACCACAUGUACAGGAUAGGUAGGAGCCGAUGAGACCGGAACGCUAGUUUCGGAGGAGGCGCUGGUGGGAUACUACCCUUGUGUUAUGAACCCUCUAACCCGCACCACUAAUCGUGGUGGGAGACAGUGUCAGAUGGGCAGUUUGACUGGGGCGGUCGCCUCCUAAAAGGUAACGGAGGCGCCCAAAGGUUCCCUCAGAAUGGUUGGAAAUCAUUCGAAGAGUGUAAAGGCAGAAGGGAGCUUGACUGCGAGACCUACAAGUCGAGCAGGGACGAAAGUCGGGCUUAGUGAUCCGGUGGUUCCGCAUGGAAGGGCCAUCGCUCAACGGAUAAAAGCUACCCUGGGGAUAACAGGCUUAUCUCCCCCAAGAGUCCACAUCGACGGGGAGGUUUGGCACCUCGAUGUCGGCUCGUCGCAUCCUGGGGCUGUAGUCGGUCCCAAGGGUUGGGCUGUUCGCCCAUUAAAGCGGCACGCGAGCUGGGUUCAGAACGUCGUGAGACAGUUCGGUCCCUAUCCGUCGCGGGCGUAGGAAAUUUGAGAGGAUCUGCUCCUAGUACGAGAGGACCAGAGUGGACUUACCGCUGGUGUACCAGUUGUUUCGCCAGAGGCAUCGCUGGGUAGCUAUGUAGGGAAGGGAUAAACGCUGAAAGCAUCUAAGUGUGAAGCCCACCUCAAGAUGAGAUUUCCCAUUUCU